GGCUUGGCUUGGAACAAAUGACUUGAUAUGACUGGAUCAAUUCUUCGAUCGAUAAAUACUUUGCAAAGCUCCGUACGUGCUGACGCUUAGUGCACUGGUCUGGUUCACAAGCGACUAACACUGAAGUUAAACAUUGUACCGUCUUUGUCAGCAAACAUUGAUCAGUCGGUUCCGGGUUAGUUUAUGCUUCAGUUUGUUGAUUAUAAUUAACCAACCAAGAUAUAGACAUAUCUUGCUUCAGGGGUUGCACUGAAAUCUUUCGAGUACUUGGACAACAUCUUCAUUGCUUCCACAAUCUUGAAUACUUCAAUCUUUAUUCUUCACUGAGGCAUGAACAUAUUAAUGAACUUCUUCCAGUGAACUUAUUCCUUCAAGACUGUAGAUGGCUUCUUCAACCUUUGUCUUCGUAUCUUCCGAUUCCGGUGCAGGCGUAGUGUUAUUUACUUGUCCUGUUCUAU
rnacentral:lncRNA from 1 species